CUUCUUGCUGCUCUUUUCUUUGAGUGUAAAGGAGAAGACAAAGUGAUGCAGCCAUCAGGAGAUGUUCCUGCUGCUGAAGGAGACUGAGUUAUACUGAAUUGUACUUUUGAUACCACUGAUUCUUCAGAUCAUUAUCUCUUCUGGUACAAACAGGAAGGAAGGAAAAGCCCCAAAUUCAUCCUGAGCCGCUUCAAAUUUGGUGAGGGGAAAACAGAGGAUGAAGAAAAAUAUUCAUCCACACUGGAUUCCAGCUUGAGAUCAGUUCCUCUGAAGAUCCAGAAGCUUGAGCUGUCUGACUCUGCUGUGUACUACUGUGCUCUG